CCUGUUUGCAGACGCUGAGAUGGUGUCACAGCUUUCACAUUGCUUCAGCUAGAGGCAGAGGUAUGCCCAGGGUGAGGGCCCCACCUGGGCUGCAGAUGCCUCCAUGGCCCUCUGCAGUCUCUGGUGUGAUGGACUUAACAUGUGUAUCUCCCCUAAGCCCCCGUGUGAUGGUGUCUGGAGACCAGGCCUCCGCAGGGUACCAAGAAAGGCCACCCAAGGCCUUAGGGAGAAGGCAGCUAUCUGUGCUCCAGAAGGAGGCCUCACCAGGAAUGGAACGUGGCUGAACCUUGAGUUCCACUGGAUCAGGGCCCACCUUGCUCCAGCAGGACCUGCUCUUAACUGAUGACACCUGCAAUGACCCUACUUCCAAAGAAGGCCACAUUCCCCAGGCGCUGUGGGUUAGGACUUUAACAUCUUUUGCAGGGGACGUAAGUCAAAAGCCUCCCUGGGGCAGCACCCCCGGAGGCCCCGGAACAGGCGCUCCUGGGCCUCUCCCCUUGUGGCUGCUUUUGUCCCCAGGGUUACUGGCAUUUCCUCCUAGUUCUCCCUGGGACAUAGCAGAGGAAAAAGUCCCCAGCAGGGAAUGGAGCAGGUGAUGGCUUUCCACCCGCACCGUGAUCCAUGCUGACCCUGCACCAAGGGGUAGGCGCACCUUGUCAGCUGCCUGAAUCCCAAGAAGGGGGUGGGUUUCUGAGGAUCCUGGCACACUGGAGCGGGGGCUCCCAGAGAAGCAGCCGUGUGCAUCAUGGGCAAGGCCGCGUGCAAUGCCAGCGUGGCGCCGUGGCUCACUGAGUUCUGUUGAGUGGGAGAUUAGAGGACAGAAGAGGAGGAGGCUCCGGGCCUCGGGCUCCCAGGAUCCCCUCACACUCUGGGGUGUGAACCCAGCUCCACUGCUUCCUGGCUGCCAGCCCUGGGGCAGGUACUCAAAUACUCUGCCUCUGUGUACUCAUCCAGAACGUGGGACGAUGAUACGACCAUCCUUACGGGCUGCUACGGUGACUGAGAGGGAAGGCUGGUGCAGCCCCCAUGUCUUCAGCCAUGGUGGGGAGAAUGAGGGGCAGCUCCCCUCUGCGUGUGUGGGUGUGGGGACAUGGGGACAACCUGCCCCUGUGUAGCAUGAAUCACCAUCAACAGGACACCUCUGGAUAUCCCGGUGCUGGAGGGAGGCAGAGGAGGGGAGUCUGAGGCCUGGGCUUGGAGACUCACCGCAGUAGCACAGCCUGUUGGUGACUGGUUGGGUACUGUGCCCCAAGCAUCUUCUGGGGUCAACACCAGGCUCCAGCAGGGUGCCAGCGAGAGCUAUUUGACGCAGAUGUCGGAGUGGAAUUUUGCAGUACGAACCCUGACUCUGCCUGGCCACGCGGUGUGGCCAGUGCUUCUGUACACAGCAGCACCUUGUCUGCAGGGAAGGAGGCAAAAUUGCACGUCCCCUCCUGGCGAAGGCCACUUGAGGCAGGGCCGGCGCUCACUGAGCCUCAGAAAAGGCAGUCCCCGUUGUUGAUGAGGAUGGUUGGACCCUGCUGUGGCUUGGGUUGUGGUGUCCUCAAAAAUACUGAAGUCCAGCCCCAGGUACUGUGACCUUAUUUGGAACGAGGGGCCACUGUAGAUGUAAUGAAGUUAAAUGAGGUCACCUGGGAUUUAGGGUGGGCCCUAACCAGUGACUGGUGUCAUUAUGGGAAGAGGAGAGGAGACGCACAGACGCCAGGAGGUGACAGCUGAGGCCGAGGCUGGAGGGAAAGGCCACAAGCCGAGGGAGGUGAAGGCUGACCGGCGACGCUGGGAUCUGUGAGAUGCCGGGAAGGACCCGGAGCGUGGUCCUGCCAGCACCUUGAUUUCGGACUCUGGCCUCCAGGACCGUGUGAAAAUAAAUGUCUGCCAUUGAGGGCACCCCAUUGGUGGGGCUUCCUCCAGCAGCUGUGAGAGACACUCACAGACCCUACCAGGAGACGGCUGCGCCUCUGUGCGUUUUUGCCAAGGUGGCCGUUUGAGGAGAGAUGAACUUGGGAGUGGUUCCUCAGGAGCUACACGGCAUUCUGUUUCUCCCCCCUGGGGGUUGGUCAUUUUAUGAGAGAAUUGGAGGAAAAAAAAUCCCUUCCGACGCUCUAAGCCCGGGCCAGAGUGCCUGGAGCUCAAUGGAGCGGGCAUAAUUUGUUUGCUUUGCAAUUCUCUCCCCUCAGUGGAGACAAAUUGAUUUCUACGUGGAAAUGGGCCGUGGCUGGGAGGCGGCGGGCUUGUGAGAGGGCAAGGUUUGCCGGGUUUCAGGAAGGGCUGGUCCGGGCCGGCAGGCCACGGCCCACCCACUGCUGGUGAGAAUGUGCCCAGGUGAGCCCCUCCGGGACCCAGAACCCUAAAACUGCUCAGAGAGUUUGCUGUGGAGCCGCGCUGUGCCGAGCCUCUCCCGGUGCUGUCCCAAGCCUCUCCCCACGAGUCUGUGGGUGCAGCUGCUGGCCAUGUGUUUACGGAACAUCUCCCUCAAACAGAGGGACCCUGGUGGCGCCAACAGAGGCAGGGAAAACAUGGGAACGGCGGGCCUGCCCUGGGCUGUGGCCUCCUGAGACAUCAGACGCUGAGGGAAGUGUUGAAAGGCUGUAUGAUGACAGCCGCCAUACAGGAAGGCCAGGGCAUUGUUUAGCAAAUAACAAUUAAAAAUUUAUACUAUUACUAUUAUGAUGUCACCCAGAGUGCAGUGCACUGGCGCGAUCUCCGCUCACUGCAACCUCCACCUCCCAGGCUCAACCAGUUCUCCCGCCUCAGCCUCCCGAGUAGCUGGGACCAUAGGUGCACGCUGCCACACCCGACUUUUUACAAUUUUUGUAGAGAUGGGGUCUCCCUAGGUUGCCCAGGCUGGUCUCGAACUUCGGGGCUCAGGUGAUCCUCUCACCUUGGCUUCCCAAAUUGCCAUAAUUAUAGGUGGAGCCACUGUGCCCAGCCUAAAUAAUUAUUUUUUUUAAAAAGCCCAACUACUUAAUAUUCCACAAGAGGAGACAACAAUCCCAGCUGCUAUACCGAAGAAUGAAGCUGAUGUCUGGGAAAUUCUCGCGUCCACCAGGCGGGGGGGUCUUCCUGGGUCUCAUCUGGCCUCACCUCUGCACCAUCCCCAAUUGGUGAGUCCCAGUCACUCCCCGCAAGGGGGCCUCUAGGAUGCCAUGAGAUGCAGCCGUGAGCAGGUGUGCAUGGGAAGAAGGUUCGUGCUGGAGAAGUGCCUUUUCAUGGGAUCUGUGGCAGCAAAGUGCAGUGCCAAUGACUCACGGCAAACACCCGCCAGGAGAGGUGCUCAGGAGAGCCACCCUAGAGGGCUGCUGGCACGAGGCGCUCAGGAGAGCCACCCUAGAGGGCUGCUGGCACGAGGCGCUCAGGAGAGCCACCCCAGAGGGCUGCUGGCACUUGUCCCUGGGCUGUCAUGACAUGGGCAGUGUUCAUUUCGUUUCUCUAAAUGUUUAGUCUUUUUCAAAUUUUCUGUGGUGAGCAUUGGUUAUAGUUUGAAUCUGGA
rnacentral:lncRNA from 10 species